AUAUAUAUAGUUUAAAUAAAACAUUACAUUUUCACUGUAAAAUAAAAUAAUUUAUAUUUUAUAUAUA
rnacentral:tRNA from 1 species